GAUCAUGGCUCAGGAUGAACGCUAGCGACAGGCCUAACACAUGCAAGUCGAGGGGCAGCGGAGAGGUAGCAAUACCUUUGCCGGCGACCGGCGCACGGGUGAGUAACACGUAUGCAAUCCGCCUGUAACAGGGGGAUAACCCGGAGAAAUCCGGACUAAUACCCCAUAAUAUGGGCGCUCCGCAUGGAGAGUUCAUUAAAGAGAGCAAUUUUGGUUACAGACGAGCAUGCGCU
rnacentral:rRNA from 1 species